UAGGAACCCACUACCGUGUGUAUGCACGGAGCAUGUGAAAAGCAGUGCCUUAGUAGCUUGUGCUGAGAUGACAGCUUUGUGUUCUGCAGAAGUAAGGACCUGUGGUAUUUAUUUGACUUAAGGGACAAGGAAGAAGCUCCAUUAAAAGACUGCUGCUUUGUACAGUAAAGAUCUCUUGUACAUGGUACCUUCCAAACAGCUUGUUUGGCUUCCAGUAGCAGUCUAAAGGGGACAGAGGGGUCUGUUUUAGCCUCAUUUGAAAAUUCUCUUGAAAGCCCUUGCUUAUCCAUCACAAGCUGGUGAUACUUAGCGUGGACUGCGUACAGGGGCAGUUCUAAGAUGUCCAUAAGCACCUCAACCAAUUUUGUUUAGAAUUCCUCACAUCACAGUUGAUCACAUGUGAGAACAGCCCAUGCCUAAAGCUAUGUGUAUUAGAGAGAAGGAGAGAAGAAAUGUUAACUGUGGAGUAGGUUUACGUGGGGGGGGUGGAAAUCCCUGAUUCCUGUAAAGUUUGACAAAGGCAUCUUUCUGUUGUUUACCUUACCAGAUGUUUCCUAUUCCCAGUUGAAUGGUGUCCUCAGCCUUAAAAUGAUAGGUCACAUUUAAGUGAUGAACUAUUUUCAGUGCCUAAUCUGAAAGACCCAUUUGGGAUUUGAUGUUCAGAGACAGAUAAACAGCAGUUCUGCAAAUCAGCACCUCCUAAGGAAAACUGCUGUGGAGAGCCUGAACAUCUUGUGGUUUUAAAAGUGAUGAACUGAAAUUUUGGAGCGUGAGCUAAGCCCUUAUGUGACAGCAACAGUGAUUAAUUACUGCGUAUAUGCCUCUUUUGGGUUCUCCAUGCUGCAGAAAGGCAUGUAAAGUUUCUUUACAAGCUUCUAUUUUAAUAUUAAAAAUAUUUCCAAUACUUUUACAAAUCCACUUCAGCAUGGGGGUUUGGGUUUGGUUUGUUUUCUCAGAUUGCUAAACUGUUUUCUGAGUGCGAGCUGAGAGACCCGUAAUGCAGGUCUUGGCACGUCCCUGUGGCAUUUGUUGUACUGUGUGUGUGCCUGGGCACGCUACCGAGGAGCAGCAGAGCAUGAUACCGUGACUGGUUUGGCUUUUUUAUCCCAAGCGAUACAACCCUGAGCAAAUGGUUAGGGUAGCUCCUGCAGGGAGAAGUGUUGAGAGAGACCCCAACAAAAUGUGUGUUUAUUGUAAGGAGCUAGAUUGAAAUGACCUUGCUUAGCUUUCAGUAGCAAUCUUGCCAGGACAGAGUUCAGCUCAGGUUCAUUUAAAAUUAGGUCUCAGGUAGGCUGAGUUUGUGUGACUAAAACAAUGAUUUUCAGGUGCUGGCCUAAUGCGUCCCAGCAUCUAGGAGCUGAACUCAAGCUUUAAGACUGAAACUAAGGUCCUGCCUGUGCAGUCCCAACCAUGGUGUUUCCUACUUGAGACCUCAAUCAAGAGGAUAUGGGAGUUGCCAGGAGUAUUGAAUCCUGCAAGAAGGGGCUUUAAACAAGGUAUUCACAGUUUCAGAUGUUGCAAGAUUUGCUGGGGUAUGCUCUUCUAUUUCCUUUCUUUCAGUUUACCACUUCUGUUUGUGGGGAGCACCCAGCCUAGUUCCGUGUGCGUCCUUUCCUGUGCCAGAUAAUGGGCAUGACCAGCUUUCUGUGCCCAAGCAGAGCUUGGAAGCAGUUCUGGGAAACGGGCAUCCUUGCUUCUGAGGGGGUGAGAGCCGGUGAAAGGGAAAUUUGGGGGCUCCACCUCUUCCCUUAUUCCUGUGCCAAAAGUGAUGUGAGAGUUUGUUACACUGUCACCCUUGCAGGGAUGUGGCCUCCAGGACAAACAGAAGAGGUAUGACCUCAUUCAGCUGUACUCCCUCGCAAUGAAACACCGUAAACAAGGACUGCCUGUACAUGAUACUUCUCAUUAAUCUAAACAUAGCUAAUAAAAAAGAUGUGCAAGGCCCUCUAAAAACUGUUCAGCAAAACAUCAGAGCCAAAAGCCUCAUUAGCAAGCUCUUAACUAACAUGUUUCUCAUUUUGAAAAGAAGCUCAGAAAAUGCCCAGUGAAAAAGUCAUGCAGCCUUUUUCCUUAACUAUUGAAUGGUCAUUAAAAUCAUAGUUGCCCUGUUUAAAGAAUUGGAAGUGUAUUUCUCAACGUGACUAAGCUAAAAUGCAUUCACAGCAGCCCUAUGCCACUCCUGUCAAGUAACGCCAGCAGCAGAGUGAGCACUGGAUGAGUUUUGCUGUCAAUAGUGUCAGCUCAAGCAUUGCUUUCUUUGCUUAUUUUUCUCUUGACCUCACACCUAUUCACUUGUGCUGGUAACCCAGUCAAAAGUUGACAUAACAGGCUUGAUUGCUCUGGGACUUGGAAUAACUCAGCAAAAAGGUUUGCAAUCUCAUUCACUUGUGAGGUGGCACAGCAUCAGCAGGAAGAAACAGAGAUCACUCAGUGCUGAGAGAAGGGCUUUUCAGUUUUUCUUUACUGUUAUUUCACCCUGUUUCUUAUAGGGCUCAUUUUUCAGUGUACAAAUAAGGUCAAUUUAAAAGCAGUAUUAUGAAGGUAUUCUAUGUUGAAUGUGCCUGGUCUAUUCAGUGUUAAUGUUCAAGUAGUGAAUAAACUAGUCCUUGCUUGAUGAGACAACUGCACAAUAUUAUCUAAGUCUUAAAAGGAGAAGAGUUCCCAAUUAACAGAAGCCUCAAGACUUUGAAGCUUAACUCCUGCUGAGAUCCUAGGCUGCCGCUCUAGCAAGGACAUCUUAUUAAGAGAGUGAUAAAAAUUUGACUGCGUUUCAUGGUAAAAUCUUACAACAUUUAAUAAAAAUAUAUGCCUAUCUACAAAAUACUUUGUCUUGUUUGAUUUCUUCCCUAUUUUACCUCUUUUUCUUUCUGUCCACAUUCUCCAAACCUAGGAAGUGAGGCUAGUGAAUGCUGGUGCGUAUUACCCAUGCUCAUUGAACUUGGCAUGGGAACAGCUGUUACAAACUGCUGUUGUAGUCCUGAUACUAUGCAUAGUCCUAUUUAUUGUUUCACUUUUGUCUGAAGUUUUGUUACAGACAGAGGGUUUGUUUGUGAAUUCCUUCUUGAGAUCUGUAGAGGGUGGGGACUCAGCAUGUUAUUUAUCUGCCAGAAAUACUUGGACACAUCCUUCAAAUGUUCUGUUGCCUUAGGCUUCUUGCAGCUGCUUUUUUCCUACACCUACUUUCACUACUUAUUGUGUUGUGUUUUUCUUUCUUUCUGAUUCAUUAUGGAAUGUCAAUUUAACACUCAUGUAGACCACAUGGAAUUAUUUACUAAUGAAUGUAAACUCCCUUGUUAGACAAGGUGCUGAUUGAUGAGAUGACCUGGCAAUUUGUGUACUUCUCACAGAGCUCUUGUGAAUUAGGUAAAUUCAAUUCCUUUCUUUUACUGAUAGAAACAAGAAGACACCAGUUAUCAAGUCCUAAUCCAGCGCAAAUUAAAAACAGUAUUUUAUUGAUGUUAUUUUCCACCUCCUAUCUCUUUAAUUUUUUAUACCACCACUGGGUCUCCUUUGUAUGAUCUGAAGCAGACAAUGGAUAAAUAUCCUAAUGAAGAUAUCUGUCAACAUGACAAAUGCCAACUAUUAAAAGAGCAUGCGUAAUACAGGAUAAAAUGUUAGCAACUCAUACGUUUAAGUUGACCACUGUCCUUUAAUGCCAGUUUGCUCUGUGCUACUUGAAAGCAGCAUAUUGAGAAAUAAAUCACUUCUGUUAACCCACCGUCACCAAACAGAUCUGGCAAUUAUACUAUAGUGUUACUGAAAUGGAAUAAAAACACCUUGUUUUAUACCUGGUUGGAAAUGCAUUUUGGAAAUUUUAAAAAGCCUGCUUUAGGCUAUAUGAACCCUUCCCCCCAAGCCCUUAAGAUCACCAAUCAUCUGAAAAAAAUCCUAAUCAAAUAACAGGAUAAAUAACUUUUUAGAAUAAUGGAUCCAGAACACUUAUAUAAAUCAUUAAUUGGAAUACUGGAGUGAAGAUGUAAUUCCCUUAAAAUCACAUCGAUGCUGCAAAAAUGCAUUAAAAAUGCUCUUUCAACUAUGUAAUCUUUUAUCAGGUAAACUUUUCCUUUUUGCUCAGCAGCCAAACAAUUGUGUCCUGCAUAGGAUAAUUGAGGGUUGUGUGGGUAAAAUUGGCCUAAACGUUGCAAAUUUUAGCAUAAUUGCACCUAAGUUUUGAUUGCCUGGAAGAAUCCAGAUCUUUAGUGUUGUUCCUAAAUUUUCUGUGACAUAAGUGAGGCAAUUAUACUGGAAACCUACUGAACAGAUAGUUACUUAAAGUAGGCCCUAAUAAAAGUUGAUGUGUGUUUUAAAUUACUUUUCAUACAUCUUUUGGCAGAUGCACAUUGAGAGGUGCUCCAUUUCCCUCCAAUUUCUGUACUCUGAACCUGCCAAAAGUAGGUACCCAAGUCUUGAUU